UCCUCAGUAGCUCAAUGGUGGAGCAACCGGCUGUUAACCGGUAGGUUGUUGGUUCGAGUCCAACCUGGGGAG
rfam:Alkalibacter saccharofermentans DSM 14828 genome assembly, contig: EJ14DRAFT_scaffold00015.15